GACGAACGCUGGCGGCGUGCUUAACACAUGCAAGUCGAACGGAAAGGCUCCUGCUUGCAGGGGUACUCGAGUGGCGAACGGGUGAGUAACACGUGGGUGAUCUGCCUUGUACUCUGGGAUAAGCUUGGGAAACUGGGUCUAAUACCGGAUAAUAACUGCCUUUAGUGUGGUGGUUGGAAAGUUUUUUCGGUGCAAGAUGAGCUCGCGGCCUAUCAGCUUGUUGGUGGGGUAAUGGCCUACCAAGGCGUCGACGGGUAGCCGGCCUGAGAGGGUGUACGGCCACAUUGGGACUGAGAUACGGCCCAGACUCCUACGGGAGGCAGCAGUGGGGAAUAUUGCACAAUGGGCGGAAGCCUGAUGCAGCGACGCCGCGUGGGGGAUGACGGCCUUCGGGUUGUAAACUCCUUUCGACAGGGACGAAGCUUUUUGUGACGGUACCUGUAUAAGAAGCACCGGCUAACUACGU
rnacentral:rRNA from 1 species